CGGUUGGCCGAGUAAAGUGGCGCACGGGUGAGUAACGCGUAGGCAACCUACCCUUGUAUUGGGGAUAACCCCGCGAAAGCGGGGCUAAUACCGGAUAAGACCCGAUUCUGGAGGGAGUUGGGUGAAAGUCGGCCGCUCGGAGAAGCUGACGUACGAGGAUGGGCCUGCGUCCUAUCAGCUAGUUGGUGGGGUAGCGGCCUACCAAGGCGACGACGGGUAGCUGGUCUGAGAGGAUGAUCAGCCACACUGGCACUGGAACACGGGCCAGACUCCUACGGGAGGCAGCAGUGAGGAAUUUUGCGCAAUGGCCGCAAGGCUGACGCAGCAACGCCGCGUGGGUGAUGACGGCCUUCGGGUCGUAAAGCCCUGUCAGGUGGGAAAGAAAAGGUUUCAAGGAGAAACACUUGGGAUUUGACGGUACCACCAGAGGAAGCACCGGCUAACUCCGUGCCAGCAGCCGCGGUAAUACGGAGGGUGCGAGCGUUAUUCGGAAUUACUGGGCGUAAAGCGCGUGUAGGCGGGGAUGCAAGUCUGAUGUGAAAGGCCUGGGCUUAACCUGGGAAGUGCAUUGGAAACUGCAUUUCUUGAGUACUGGAGAGGAAGGGGGAAUUCCCAGGUGUAGAGGUGAAAUUCGUAGAGAUCGGGAGGAAUACCAGUGGCGUAGGCGCCACUUCUGGACGGUUACUGACGCUGAGACGCGAAAGCGUGGGGAGCAAACAGGAUUAGAUACACUGGUAGUCCACAGCUGUAAACGAUGAUCACUAGGUGUAGCGGGUACUCAUUCACUGCUGUGCACG
rnacentral:rRNA from 1 species